AUUGAACGCUGGCGGCAGGCCUAACACAUGCAAGUCGAACGGUAACAGGAAACAGCUUGCUGUUUCGCUGACGAGUGGCGGACGGGUGAGUAAUGUCUGGGAAACUGCCUGAUGGAGGGGGAUAACUACUGGAAACGGUAGCUAAUACCGCAUAACGUCGCAAGACCAAAGAGGGGGACCUUCGGGCCUCUUGCCAUCGGAUGUGCCCAGAUGGGAUUAGCUAGUAGGUGGGGUAACGGCUCACCUAGGCGACGAUCCCUAGCUGGUCUGAGAGGAUGACCAGCCACACUGGAACUGAGACACGGUCCAGACUCCUACGGGAGGCAGCAGUGGGGAAUAUUGCACAAUGGGCGCAAGCCUGAUGCAGCCAUGCCGCGUGUAUGAAGAAGGCCUUCGGGUUGUAAAGUACUUUCAGCGGGGAGGAAGGGAGUAAAGUUAAUACCUUUGCUCAUUGACGUUACCCGCAGAAGAAGCACCGGCUAACUCCGUGCCAGCAGCCGCGGUAAUACGGAGGGUGCAAGCGUUAAUCGGAAUUACUGGGCGUAAAGCGCACGCAGGCGGUUUGUUAAGUCAGAUGUGAAAUCCCCGGGCUCAACCUGGGAACUGCAUCUGAUACUGGCAAGCUUGAGUCUCGUAGAGGGGGGUAGAAUUCCAGGUGUAGCGGUGAAAUGCGUAGAGAUCUGGAGGAAUACCGGUGGCGAAGGCGGCCCCCUGGACGAAGACUGACGCUCAGGUGCGAAAGCGUGGGGAGCAAACAGGAUUAGAUAGCCUGGUAGUCCACGCCGUAAACGAUGUCGACUUGGAGGUUGUGCCCUUGAGGCGUGGCUUCCGGAGCUAACGCGUUAAGUCGACCGCCUGGGGAGUACGGCCGCAAGGUUAAAACUCAAAUGAAUUGACGGGGGCCCGCACAAGCGGUGGAGCAUGUGGUUUAAUUCGAUGCAACGCGAAGAACCUUACCUGGUCUUGACAUCCACGGAAGUUUUCAGAGAUGAGAAUGUGCCUUCGGGAACCGUGAGACAGGUGCUGCAUGGCUGUCGUCAGCUCGUGUUGUGAAAUGUUGGGUUAAGUCCCGCAACGAGCGCAACCCUUAUCCUUUGUUGCCAGCGGUCCGGCCGGGAACUCAAAGGAGACUGCCAGUGAUAAACUGGAGGAAGGUGGGGAUGACGUCAAGUCAUCAUGGCCCUUACGACCAGGGCUACACACGUGCUACAAUGGCGCAUACAAAGAGAAGCGACCUCGCGAGAGCAAGCGGACCUCAUAAAGUGCGUCGUAGUCCGGAUUGGAGUCUGCAACUCGACUUCAUGGAGUCGGAAUCGCUAGUAAUCGUGGAUCAGAAUGCCACGGUGAAUACGUUCCCGGGCCUUGUACACACCGCCCGUCACACCAUGGGAGUGGGUUGCAAAAGAAGUAGGUAGCUUAACCUUCGGGAGGGCGCUUACCACUUUGUGAUUCAUGACUGGGGUGAAGU
rnacentral:rRNA from 1 species